rnacentral:rRNA from 1 species
GAUGAACGCUGGCGGCGUGCCUAAUACAUGCAAGUCGAGCGAAUGGAUUAAGAGCUUGCUCUUAUGAAGUUAGCGGCGGACGGGUGAGUAACACGUGGGUAACCUGCCCAUAAGACUGGGAUAACUCCGGGAAACCGGGGCUAAUACCGGAUAACAUUUUGAACCGCAUGGUUCGAAAUCGAAAGGCGGCUUCGGCUGUCACUUAUGGAUGGAGCCGCGUCGCAUUAGCUAGUUGGUGAGGUAACGGCUCACCAAGGCAAAGAUGCGUAGCCGACCUGAGAGGGUGAUCGGCCACACUGGGACUGAGACACGGCCCAGACUCCUACGGGAGGCAGCAGUAGGGAAUCUUCCGCAAUGGACGAAAGUCUGACGGAGCAACGCCGCGUGAGUGAUGAAGGCUUUCGGGUCGUAAAACUCUGUUGUUAGGGAAGAACAAGUGCUAGUUGAAUAAGCUGGCACCUUGACGGUACCUAACCAGAAAGCCACGGCUAACUACGUGCCAGCCGCCGCGGUAA